UACGGAGGGUGCAAACGUUGCUCGGAAUCAUUGGGCGUAAAGCGCACGUAGGCGGCCUGUUAAGUCGGAUGUGAAAGCCCCGGGCUCAACCCGGGAAGUGCAUUCGAAACUGGCGGGCUUGAAUUCGGGAGAGGGAUGUGGAAUUCCAGGUGUAGCGGUGAAAUGCGUAGAUAUCUGGAGGAACACCGGUGGCGAAGGCGGCAUCCUGGACCGAUAUUGACGCUGAUGCGCGAAAGCCAGGGGAGCAAACGGG
rnacentral:rRNA from 1 species